GUAAGGAGUUUUCGGCAAUGGGGGGAACCCUGACCGAGCAACGCCGCGUGAGUGAUGACGGCCCUAUGGGUUGUAAAGCUCUGUUAUAAGGGACGAACAGCUUUGCUAGGAAAUGAGCAGAGUCUGACGGUACUUUAUCAGAAAGCCACGGCUAACUACGUGCCAGCAGCCGCGGUAAUACGUAGGUGGCAAGCGUUAUCCGGAAUUAUUGGGCGUAAAGAGUGAGCAGGCGGCAGAUUAAGUUUGAGGUUAAAGCGUGGGGCUCAACCCCAUAAAGCCUUGAAAACUGAUCAGCUAGAGUACGAGAGAUGUGAAGGGAACUCCAUGUGUAGCGGUGAAAUGCGUAGAUAUAUGGAAGAACACCAGUGGCGAAGGCGCUUCACAAGCUCGAAACUGACGCUCAGUCACGAAAGCGUGGGUAGCAAAUAGGAUUAGAUACCCCUGUAGUCC
rnacentral:rRNA from 1 species